rnacentral:rRNA from 1 species
AUCGCUCUUUGAAAAAUAUAAAUAAAGAGUACUGCCUGCCCAGUGAUAAAAAUUAAACGGCCGCGGUAUUUUGACCGUGCAAAGGUAGCAUAAUCAUUUGUUCUUUAAUUGAGGACUAGUAUGAAAGGCAAAACGAAAGCUUAACUGUCUCCUUUUUUAGAAAAGAAAUUAGUAUUUUUGUGAAGAAACAAAAAUAAUUAAGUAAGACGAGAAGACCCUGUCGAGCUUAAGAAAAUUUUUAUAAUAAAUACCAUUAGAUAAAAAUAAUAAAUCAUAUUACUAUAUAAUUUAAAUAAAAAUAUCUUUGGUUGGGGCAACCACGAAGAAAAGAAAACCUUCGUUAAAAAAAAGAAAUUUACAAAUUUAAAAAUCAUUAAAAAUUCCUUAAAGAUCCAGAAAAUUCUGAUCAAAGAAAAAAGUUACCGCAGGGAUAACAGCGUUAUUCUCUUUAAGAGCCCUUAUUGACAAGAGAGUUUGCGACCUCGAUGUUGGAUCGGGGCACCCAAGAGGUGUAGCAGCCUCUAAAGGUAGGUCUGUUCGACCUUUAAAGCCCUACGUGAU